rnacentral:rRNA from 1 species
AUCCACAGCCAUGCCUCCCUGAACAAGCCUGAUCCCGUCUGAUCUCAGAAGUUAAGCAGGGUCGGGCCUGCUUAGUGCUUGGAUGGGAGACCACCUAGGAAGACCAGGUGCUGUAGGCG